AUGGCCGCUUCGGUCGAGCCACGGCAGUCGUCGUUCGGCCGCCUCGACGCGCCGGCCACCGCGCCGCCGGCACGCAACGGUUCCUCCAACGGCGGCAUCCGUCGCCGCGCCGACUCGCCGGUGCGCGGCUGCGGGUUCCCCCCGCUCAUUUCGCCGCCGCGGAAGGCCAUCGUCGAGGAAGAGGAGCAGGACGAGGAGGACGAGGAGCCGGAGGAGGACUGGCGGGAGGCGUACGGCUCGCAGCUGCAGCUGGAGGUGGAGCCGUCGACGCGCGACCCGCGGGACGAGGGCACGGCGGACGCCUGGAUCGACCGCAACCCCUCGCUGAUCCGCCUCACCGGCAAGCACCCGCUCAACUGCGAGCCGCCGCUGGCGCGCCUCAUGCACCACGGCUUCAUCACGCCCGCGCCGCUCCACUACGUGCGCAACCACGGCGCCGUGCCAAAGGGCGACUGGGCCACCUGGACGGUCGAGGUGACAGGGCUCGUCCGCCGCCCCGCGCGGCUCACCAUGGACGAGCUGGCCAACGGGUUCGCCGCCGCGGAGGUGCCCGCCACGCUGGUGUGCGCCGGCAACCGCCGCAAGGAGCAGAACAUGGUGCAGCAGACGGUGGGCUUCAACUGGGGCGCGGCGGGGGUGUCCACCUCCGUCUGGCGCGGGGCGCGCCUCCGCGAAGUGCUGCUCCGGUGCGGCAUCAUGUCGCGCAAGGGGCAGGCCCUGAACGUGUGCUUCGAGGGCGCCGAGGACCUCCCCGGCGGCGGCGGCUCCAAGUACGGCACCAGCGUGACCCGGGAGUGGGCGCUCGACCCGUCCCGCGACAUCCUGCUCGCCUACGCGCAGAACGGGGAGCCGCUGCUCCCCGACCACGGCUUCCCCGUCCGCGUGCUCAUCCCGGGCUGCAUCGGCGGCCGCAUGGUGAAGUGGCUCCGGCGCAUCGUGGUGACCACCGCCGAGUCCGACAACUACUACCACUUCAAGGACAACCGGGUGCUGCCGUCGCACGUGGACGCGGAGCUGGCCAACGCGGAGGCGUGGUGGUACCGGCCCGAGUACAUCAUCAACGAGCUCAACACCAACUCGGUGAUCACCACGCCCGGGCACGACGAGAUCCUCCCCAUCAACGCCUUCACCACCCAGCGCGCAUACACCAUGAAAGGAUACGCAUACUCCGGUGGUGGUAAGAAGAUCACACGAGUGGAAGUGACUCUGGACGGCGGCGAGAGCUGGAUGUUGUGCACGCUCGACAUCCCGGAGAAGCCGAACAAGUACGGCCGGUACUGGUGCUGGUGCUUCUGGUCGGUGGAGAUCGAGGUGCUGGACCUCCUUGGGGCCAAGGAGGUGGCGGUGCGCGCGUGGGACCAGACCCACAACACCCAGCCGGAGAAGCUCAUCUGGAACCUCAUGGGCAUGAUGAACAACUGCUGGUUCAAGGUGAAGGUCAACGUGUGCCGCCCCCACAAGGGCGAGAUCGGGCUGGUCUUCGAGCACCCCACGCAGCCAGGCAACCAGACCGGCGGCUGGAUGGCGCGCCAGAAGCACCUGGAGACGGCCGAGGCGGCGGCGCCAGGGCUCAAGCGCAGCACGUCUACUCCGUUCAUGAACACCGUCGCCGACAAGCAGUUCACCAUGUCCGAGGUGCGCAAGCACGGGUCCAAGGAGUCGGCGUGGAUCGUGGUGCACGGCCACGUCUACGACUGCACCGCCUUCCUCAAGGACCACCCCGGCGGCGCCGACAGCAUCCUCAUCAAUGCGGGAUCCGACUGCACCGAGGAGUUCGACGCCAUCCACUCCGACAAGGCCAAGGCGCUCCUCGACACCUACCGCAUCGGCGAGCUCAUCACCACGGGCACCGGCUACAACUCGGACAACUCGGUGCACGGCGGGUCCAGCCUCUCCCACCUCGCCCCGAUCCGGGAGGCCACCAAGGUCGCCGGGGCGCCCAUCGCGCUGUCCAGCCCGCGGGAGAAGGUGCCCUGCCGCCUGGUGGACAAGAAGGAGCUCUCCCACGACGUCCGCCUCUUCCGCUUCGCGCUGCCGUCCUCCGACCAGGUGCUCGGCCUCCCCGUCGGCAAGCACAUCUUCGUGUGCGCCACCAUCGACGGCAAGCUCUGCAUGCGCGCCUACACUCCGACGAGCAUGGUCGACGAGAUCGGCCAGUUCGAGCUGCUCGUCAAGGUCUACUUCAAGGACGAGCACCCCAAGUUCCCCAGCGGCGGCCUCAUGACGCAGUACCUGGAGUCGCUCCAGCUCGGCUCCUGCAUCGACGUCAAGGGCCCGCUGGGGCACGUGGAGUACACCGGCCGCGGCAACUUCGUCAUCAACGGCAAGCAGCGGCGGGCGCGCAGGCUGGCCAUGAUCUGCGGCGGCAGCGGGAUCACGCCCAUGUACCAGGUGAUCCAGGCCGUGCUGCGCGACCAGCCGGAGGACGAGACGGAGAUGCACCUGGUGUACGCGAACCGGAGCGAGGACGACAUCCUGCUGCGCGACGAGCUGGACCGGUGGGCGGCGGAGUACCCGGAGAGGCUCAAGGUGUGGUACGUGAUCGACCAGGUGAAGCGGCCGGAGGACGGGUGGAGGUUCAGCGUGGGGUUCGUGACGGAGGACAUCCUGCGGGCGCACGUCCCCGAGGGCGGCGACGACACCCUCGCGCUCGCCUGCGGGCCGCCGCCCAUGAUCAAGUUCGCCAUCUCGCCCAACCUCGAGAAGAUGAAGUACGACAUGGCCAAUUCCUUCAUCUCUUUCUGA
rnacentral:rRNA from 1 species